GGAAAAGGACGUACUAACCAAUAGCCACUAACUACAAGAAAUAUUGUAACAUAUUUCUGAAUUAAACUCCUCUCAGUUUCCUUCCCUAGUGCCAUUUUGGUGGUUAACCUAAUUGUGCUAAAACCUGCUUUUGUGCUUCCUGGAACGUCGAAAAUUGUUUAUUUAAUAGAAAAUAGUGUUUAAACGAGCCGAAAAGUGACACGUUUGACAGUUGUCAAGCGACAUAACCUCUUAAAUAAUAAUGUGAACACGCAAUAAAAACCCCAAACAACUCAAAUUUACAAAA